UAGGGAAUCUUCGGCAAUGGGGGCAACCCUGACCGAGCAACGCCGCGNGAGUGAAGAAGGUUUUCGGAUCGUAAAGCUCUGUUGUAAGAGAAGAACGUGUGUGAGAGUGGAAAGUUCACACAGUGACGGUAACUUACCAGAAAGGGACGGCUAACUACGUGCCAG
rnacentral:rRNA from 1 species